GAUGAAAGAAAUCCAACGUAUCAGCCACCAAAUGCCGGAACGGAAACGCACGAAAAAGAACCAAUAAUUCCAGAAUUGUAAAACGUAGGAUGGAUUCAUGAAGAAACCUAAUCAUUCCAAAUCAACUCCAACAGGCAAAGAUGAACAAAAUCCUACGAAUCAAACAGAAACCUUUGAAGAAGAGCAAAUAAUUGAUGAAUUCAUCAAGAAUUCGAGAUCACUCCAAGGCAAGUGCAUCGACCGACAAUAACUCAAAAUCCGACGAAUUAACCACAAAAUAUCAAGAAACCCUUAAGUUUCACCAGAAGUGCAAGACCAUGAAAAGUUGUAACAGCAGGAGUGAUGAUUAACACAUUCUGACAAGCAAGGCUAAAGGAAAAAAGAUUAUCAAUACGAUCAAUAAUACCUCCAAAGGCGAGCGACCGCCUCUAUACAAAUCAUCUCUCGCAAACAUUGACGAUCUAUAGCACAUUAAUUCUGAUGACAAUUUAGGUUCAAAUCUGAUCCUAAAUAACAUACUAUUGAGAAGAUAAAAGUCAGCAAAUAGAGACAACCAUACAUAUGGAAAACAAGAGAUAAUAAAAACCUCAGAUCCCCCACAAAAAAGUGCAUCCAAGAACCUCCAAGAAACAUGGCUGCAAGAUUGCAAUAAUAAUACAGAAAGCAACGAACAUCCAUCCUAAACAAAAUGUUCAUAAAAAAUGUUGAUUUACACAAAUAGAAUCGCUAUCAAAUCGAGAAAAACCAUAACUCAAAAAACAAGUCCUUUACGAUAUUUAUGGUACCUUGCCUUAAAUUAUCCCAACCAAUGUAGCCCCUGAGUAACUGCAACAAGUAAUAAUUGACAUCUACCUCAUCAGGAGUAUGAAUAAAAUGACACCAUGUAUCAGAAACACAAUCAGAAUCACUAUCCCAACCAUAAAUUUCUAAACAAGAUGGAAGGGAAACAUCUGCGCCAAUUGCCAAAUAAUGAAACCUACAAUUAAAUAAGCACGACAGAAUAAAGCAAUUCAAAUACGAACCACCUUGCAAAGUACUCAAUACCGGGUCAUCCCUAAACAAGAAUAAUCUCUCAUAACCUGAAUAAACAACCUUAAACUAAAUAACAUAUAUAGAAAUAACAAAGAUAAAUAGGUACACAAAUAUAUAAAUGAAUGAAUGAAAAAAUAUCCAAGAGAUGAAAAAAAGGGUUGCCAUUCAAACUCUAAUUGCUUGUUUGAGGUGCGGCAGAAGAUGAAAACAUACACAUCAAACUCUAAUUGCUUGCUUGAAGUGAUUGGAUACAUUAUAUAGCAACCAACAACCCAACAAAAGUGCAGCCACUUAUGCCAAAGUACACAAUCUUCAGCAGCAGACCACCAUAUAAUAGAAGCAACUGCCGAAAAAGGAUGUAAAUGUCACCGUUAAGCAAGUUCUGAAAACUCCAGGCAGCGAAGAAUAGAAGGAAAUACAAUACGAUACUCAUCACGAAUAUCGCAAAAGCCCAUGGUAAAAUUAAUGUUAACUCCUCAUAAACACAAUCCCUCCGGCAACAACAACAAAUCACAAAAUACUGAGGAGAUGAGACAGCUGAAGGACACAUCUUUGCAAAAUAGGAUCGCAUAUUGCCACAAACUAGAUUGGCCAAAUCGCACUACAUGAACAAAAAUUAAGAUACAUAUCACAAUCAAGUGGAGAAGCCCCCUUAUGAGAAAUCAAUCUUAACUCCAGCCUCUGCAGCACUUGGUAUUCUCAUCAGCUGAAGCUCGAAAACCAUGGUCAAAUACAUCAAAACUAGAACCACUUUCAGGCUGCUUAAUGAUACCACUAUGAUGCCUCUUCAACCAUAUAUGAUAAUAUCAAAAGAAAGGAAUCGUGCGCCAACCGAACACAUGGAAUCCAUAGAACCAGGGAAAAAAGAAGCUGUCUAUUUAAUCAUAUGAUAAAUAAUGCUAAACCAAAAGAAAAUUCCAGCCAACUCUUAAGAACACUAAUAGAAUCAAAGAGCACAACAGAUGUGCCAAUCAACCCGAAUCUACCCCCGCAAUCCUCAAUUAACCGAACCAAGAACUGCAAAUCCUCGAAGAACAAUAAAUUCCAAAAUCUGAGAAGCAUGAGUUGAAUACCUCACAAAGUGUUUCAACCAAAGACAACCCAAAUCCAGCAAAUAAACCACCAAAGAUAGAACAGAAACCCUCGAAAGAAGAACAAAUGAUUCCAGAUCCGAAAAGCGCAGGACAAAUUUAUCAAGAAACCCUAGCAAGGGACCAACCCGACAGCCGAAGAUCAAAUGGAACCCUCGAAGAAGAACCAACAAUUCCAGAUUCUGUAAAACACAGGACAGACUCAUCAAGAAACAAUAAUCCCCCAAAAUCAACUGCUCCAGCCAAGGGUGAAAGAAAUCCAACGAAUCAACCUCCAAAGGCCGGAACGGAAACCCACAAAAAAGAACCAAUAAUUCCAGUUUCUGUAAAACGUUGGAUGGAUUCAUGAAGAAACCUAAUCAUUCCAAAUCAACUGCAACCGGCAAAGAUGAACAAAAUCCAACGAAUCAACUACCAAAGGUCCAACGGUAACCCUUGAAGAAGAGAAAAUAAUUGACGAAUUCAUCGAAAAUUCGAGAUCACUCCACAUCAAGCGCAUCAACCGAUAAUAACUCAAAUGCGAUGAAUUAACCACGAAACAGCAAGAAACCUGGAAGUAGACAACCAUAUGUAUGGAAAACAAGAGGUAAAAUAGCCUCAGAACCCCCACGAAAAAGUGCCUCCAAGAACCUCCAAGAAACUUGGUUGCAAGACUGCAAUAAUAAUACAGAAAGCAACGAACAUCCAUCCUAAACAAAAUGUUCAAAAAAAAAUGCCGAUUUACACAAUUAGAAUCGCUAUCAAAUGCAGAAAAACCAUAACUCAAAGAACAAGUCCUUUACAAAAUUGAUGGAAACUUGCCUUAUCGAUUAUCCCACCAAUGUAGCCCCUGAGUAACGGCAACAAGUAAUAAUUGACAUCUACCUCAUCAAGAAUACGAAAAAAAUGGCACUUCAUAUAUCAGAAUCACUAACCCAACCAUAAAUUUCUAAACAAGAUGGAAGUGAAACAUAUGAGCCAAUUGGCAAAUAAUGAAACCUAUAAUUAAAUAAGAAUGACAGAAUAAAGCAAUUCAAAUACGAACCACCUUGCAAAGUACUCUAUACAGGGGCAUCACUAAACAAGAAGAAUCUCUCAUGACCUGAAUGAACAACAUUAAACCAAAUAAAAUAUAUAUAAAUAACAAAGAUAUAUAGGUACACAGAUAUAUAAAUGAAUGCAUGAAAAAAUAUCCAAGUGAAAAAAAGGGUUGCCAUGCAAACUCUAAUUGCUUGCUUGACGUGCAGCAGAAGAUCCACAUCAAACUUGGGAAUGCUUCAAGAAGUGAUUGGAAACAGUAUAUAGCAACCAACAACCCAGCAAAAGUGCAGCCACUUAUGCCAAAGGACACAAGCAGACCACCAUAUAAAACAAGCAACUACCAAAAAUGCAUGCAAAUGUCACCGGUAAACAAGUUCUGAAAACCCCAGACAGCAAAGAAUAGAAGGAAAUAUAAUACGAUACUCAUCACCACUAUCACAAAAGCCUAUGGUAAAAUUAAUGCUAACUCCUCAUAAACACAAUCCCUCCGGCAACAACAACAAAUCACAAAAUACUGAAGAGAUGUGACAGCCGAACGACACAUCUUUGCAAAAUAGGAUCGCACAUUGCCACAAACUAGAUUGGCCAAAUCACACUACAUGAACAUAAAUUAAGAUGCAUAUCACAAUCAAGUGGAGAAGCCACCCUAUGAGAAAUCAAUCUUAACUCCAGCCUCUGUAGCACCUGGUAUUCUCAUCAACUGAAGCUCGAAAACCAUGGCCAAAUACAUCAAAACUAGAACCACUUUCUGGCUGCUUAAUGAUACCACUACGAUGCCUCUCCAACCAUAAAUGACAAUAUCAAAUGAGAGGAUUCAUGCACCAACCGAACACAAGGAAUCCACAGAACCAUAUAAGACCGGCAAUGCUUAGCCAAAAUAAAUAUCUAGCCAACUCUUAAGAACACUAAUUGAAUCAAAGAGAACAAUAGAUUCGACAAUCAACCCGAAACCACCCCUGAAUUCCUCAAUUAACUGAACCAAGAACUAGAAAUCCUCGAAGAAGAACAAUAAAUUCCAAAAUCUGAGAAGCAUGAGUUGAAUACCUCACAAAGUGUUUCACUUUCAUCCAACGACAACCCAAAUCCAGCGAAUAAACCACCACAGAUAGAACAGAAACCCUCGAAAGAAGAACAAAUGAUUCCAUAUCCGAAAAGGGCAGGACAAAUUCCGCAACAAACCCUAGCAAGGGACCAACCCAACAGCCGAAGAUCAAAUGGAACCCUCGAAAAAGAACCAACAAUUCCAGAUUCUGUAAAAUGCAGGAUGGAUUCAUCAAGAAACAAUAAUCUCCCCAAAUCAACUGCUCCAGCCUAGGAUGAAACAAAUCCAACGAAUCAGCCACCAAAGGCUGGAACGGAAACCCACGAAAAAGAACCAAUAANNNNNNNNNNNNNNNNNNNNCCAGAUUCUGUAAAACGUAUUCAUCAAGAAACAAUAAUCCCCCCAAAUCAUCUGCACCAGCCUAGGAUGAAAGAAAUCCAACGUAUCAGCCACCAAAUGCCGGAACGGAAAUCCACGAAGAAGAACCAAUAAUUCCAGAUUCUGUAAAACGCAGGACAUUAAACAAUGAUCACCCCAAAUCAACUCCUCCAGCCUAGAAUGAAAGAAAUCCAACGAAUCAGCCACCAAAAGCCGGAACGGAAACCCGCGAAGAAGAACCAAUAUUUCCAAAUUCUGUAAAACGUAGGAUGGACUCAUGAAGAAACCUAAUCAUUCUAAAUCAACUGCAACCGGCAAAGAUGAACAAAAUCCAACGAAUCAACUACCAAGGGUCCAACGGUAACCCUUGAAGAAGAGAAAAUAAUUGACGAAUUUGUCAAGAAUUCGAGAUCAAUCCACGAAACAGAAAGAAACCCUUAAGCGCACGAUAACUCAAAAUGCAGCAAGAAACCCUUAAGCGCUCGGUCGACCGAUGAUAACCCAAAACUCAGCGAUAAAAUUACUCACCGGAGCGAAGGCCACCGGGCAACCUACACCACCCC
rnacentral:lncRNA from 1 species